rnacentral:lncRNA from 1 species
ACUUAACGUCUUCAGGCUUCCUGAUCGUUAAAGGGCACAAAAUACAAUUUUCACAUAUUUUUACAAUUGUUAAUAAAUUAUUGAUAUUCAUCCUUACUUUAGAAUUUUAUCAAUUUGCUUUUAUAUUUUUUAUUUUUUAUAAUUUGUUGAUAAUUCUCUGUAUAUUGGGAUUUUUUUAUCAAUUUAUUAUCUUUUAAAUAUUUUUACAAUCAUCUGCACAUGUACACGA